rnacentral:rRNA from 1 species
CAGUAGCCGCGGGAAUACAGAGGGUGCGAGCGUUAAUCGGAUUUACUGGGCGUAAAGCGUGCGUAGGCGGCUUUUUAAGUCGGAUGUGAAAUCCCUGAGCUUAACUUAGGAAUUGCAUUCGAUACUGGGAAGCUAGAGUAUGGGAGAGGAUGGUAGAAUUCCAGGUGUAGCGGUGAAAUGCGUAGAGAUCUGGAGGAAUACCGAUGGCGAAGGCAGCCAUCUGGCCUAAUACUGACGCUGAGGUACGAAAGCAUGGGGAGCAAACAGGAUUAGAUACCCCGGUAGUCCCUGUCUCUUAUAC